rnacentral:rRNA from 1 species
GACGAACGCUGGCGGCGUGCUUAACACAUGCAAGUCGAACGGAAAGGCCCUGCUUGCAGGGUACUCGAGUGGCGAACGGGUGAGUAACACGUGGGUGAUCUGCCCUGCACUUCGGGAUAAGCCUGCGAAACUGGGUCUAAUACCGGAUAGGAGCCAUUUUUAGUGUGAUGGUUGGAAAGUUUUUUCGGUGUAGGAUGAGCUCGCGGCCUAUCAGCUUGUUGGUGGGGUAAUGGCCUACCAAGGCGGCGACGGGUAGCCGGCCUGAGAGGGUGGACGGCCACAUUGGGACUGAGAGACGGCCCAGACUCCUACGGGAGGCAGCAGUGGGGAAUAUUGCACAAUGGGCGCAAGCCUGAUGCAGCGACGCCGCGUGGGGGAUGACGGCCUUCGGGUUGUAAACUCCUUUCGCUAGGGACGAAGCUUUUUGUGACGGUACCUAGAUAAGAAGCACCGGCUAACUACGUG